rnacentral:rRNA from 1 species
AGAGUUUGAUCCUGGCUCAGGAUGAACGCUGGCGGCGUGCCUAACACAUGCAAGUCGAACGAAGCUCCUGCGACAGAAUCCUUCGGGAGGAAGAUGCUUGAGACUGAGUGGCGGACGGGUGAGUAACGCGUGGGUAACCUGCCCUGUACAGGGGGACAACAGUUGGAAACGACUGCUAAUACCGCAUAAGCUUACGGUACCGCAUGGUACAGUAAGAAAACUCCGGUGGUACAGGAUGGGCCCGCGUCUGAUUAGCUGGUUGGCGGUGUAACGGACACCAAGGCAACGAUCAGUAGCCGGCUUGAGAGAGUGAACGGCCACAUUGGGACUGAGACACGGCUCAAACUCCUACGGGAGGCA